rnacentral:rRNA from 1 species
UGGUUUAAUUCGAUGCAACGCGAAGAACCUUACCUGGUCUUGACAUCCACGGAAGUUUUCAGAGAUGGGAAUGUGCCUUCGGGAACCGUGAGACAGGUGCUGCAUGGCUGUCGUCAGCUCGUGUUGUGAAAUGUUGGGUUAAGUCCCGCAACGAGCGCAACCCUUAUCCUUUGUUGCCAGCGGUCCGGCCGGGAACUCAAAGGAGACUGCCAGUGAUAAACUGGAGGAAGGUGGGGAUGACGUCAAGUCAUCAUGGCCCUUACGACCAGGGCUACACACGUGUUCCAAUGGCGCAUACAAAGAGAAGCGACCUCGCGAGAGCAAGCGGACUUCAUAAACUGCGUUGUAGUCCGGAUUGGAGUCUGCAACUGGACUCCAUGAAGUGGGAAUCGUUGGUAAUCGUGGAUCAGAAUGCCACGGUGAAUACGUUCCCGGCCCUUGUACACACCGCCCGUCACACCAUGGGAGUGGGUUGCAAAAGAAGUAGGUAGGUUAACCUUC